rnacentral:rRNA from 2 species
GACGAACGCUGGCGGCGUGCUUAACACAUGCAAGUCGAGCGGAAAGGCCACUUCGGUGGUACUCGAGCGGCGAACGGGUGAGUAACACGUGAGUAAUCUGCCCUUGGCUUUGGGAUAGCCACCGGAAACGGUGAUUAAUACCGAAUAUGACACAUGGUCGCAUGGUUGUGUGUGGAAAGUUUUUUCGGCCAGGGAUGUGCUCGCGGCCUAUCAGCUUGAUGGUGAGGUAAUGGCUCACCAUGGCUUCGACGGGUAGCCGGCCUGAGAGGGUGACCGGUCACACUGGGACUGAGACACGGCCCAGACUCCUACGGGAGGCAGCAGUGGGGAAUAUUGGACAAUGGGCGGAAGCCUGAUCCAGCAACGCCGCGUGGGGGAUGACGGCCUUCGGGUUGUAAACCUCUUUCGCCUAGGACGAAGCGCAAGUGACGGUACUAGGUAAAGAAGCACCGGCCAACUACGUG